AGUGAACGCUGGCGGUAGGCCUAACACAUGCAAGUCGAACGGCAGCACAGUAAGAGCUUGCUCUUACGGGUUGCGAGUGGCGGACGUGUGAGGAAUACAUCGGAAUCUACUUUUUCGUGUGGGUUAACGUAGCGAAACUUACGCUAAUACCGCAUACCACCUACGGGUGAAAGCAGUGGAUCUUCUGAGCUUGCGGGAUUGGAUGAGCCGAUGGCGGGUUGGCUAGUUGGCGGGGUAAAGGCCCAGCAAGGCGACGAUCCGUAGCUGGUCUGAGAGGAUGGUCGGCCACACUGGAACUGGGACACGGUCCAGGGUCCUACGGGAGGGACCAGUGGGGAAUAUUGGACAAUGGGCGGAAACCUGGUCCAGCCAUACCGAGUGGGUGACGAAGGCGUUGGGGUUGUAAAGCCCUUUUGUUGGGAAAGAACAGCAGCAGGUUAAUACCACGCUGUUCUGACGGUAACCAAAGAAUAAGCACCGGCUAACUUCGUG
rnacentral:rRNA from 1 species